AUGGAUAGUAGUGGCCCAAUAAAAGCACCAGAUCCUGUAUGAACUUGGAAGUUGAGUAAAGUCAGCUCUAGUUAGUACUUGGAUGGGAAACCACAAACAAUACCAGGUUCUGUAGGCU
rnacentral:rRNA from 11 species